rnacentral:rRNA from 1 species
UACGUAGGGUGCAAGCGUUGUCCGGAAUUAUUGGGCGUAAAGAGCUCGUAGGCGGUCUGUUGCGUCGGCUGUGAAAACCCGGGGCUCAACUCCGGGCCUUCAGCCGAUACGGGCAGACUAGAGUUCGGCAGGGGAGACUGGAAUUCCUGGUGUAGCGGUGAAAUGCGCAGAUAUCGGGAGGAACACCAGUGGCGAAGGCGACUUCCUGGCCUGUUCUUGACGCUGAGGCGCGAAAGCUAGGGUAGCAAACGGG